AAAAGGGGAGGGGAGCAAAGAUGGCAUCAAGACGCUUGUUGAAUGCAGGACCAAAAAUACUACUGUUACUACUAAUAAUAAUAAGAAGAAGAAUUCUGCUUUUAGGUCGUCAUCUUGACACACACUUGACAUCAUUUUCCCUUUGAGAAAUACCAUCGUGAUUGACAUCUUGACCACUUUUUAUUCUGUAUUAAAGAGUAUGCUCUCUGUUGGCCCCUUAGCGCAAACCGAUCUCAGUCUAAAAUUGCGGCAUAUGAGAUAAACGUGCAACUUAUUAUAUUGAAACUAGAUUGCGUUGAUGUGCUUGGGGGGUAACGUGAAUAUGUGAAUUUACAGAAAAGGACCCAAGUAACAGUUUUGUUUGGGGUUUUUUUUGGCAAAGGAGCAUUGGAGCCCAUAGGUGUUUCUGCCACAGUUAUCUAUAACUCAACAACCAACCUCUGAGGUUUUCUAGUCCCAAGCAUGGGUAUUCGGGGACUUGGUGCUCAGAAGUAAUCUGGCAUUAUAAACUGAUCCGUACAUAUCAUGCAAGUUACAGCCAGGACAUAUUUGGCAAUUGCUUUUGGGGGAAGGUAAAAGAGAAGAUUUUUGUUCAGGCGAACAGACUCAAAAUAAUUUUUUGUCAUAGGUAGGCCAGCGUUUAUCUUGAUAUUGGCUACUGUAUACCCAGGGCCAUAUACCGUUUAAAAAAAAAGUCUGUACUACAAAUGGAUU